GUGGGCUUGGAGAACAAAGAAGGAAAAGCCUGUUAGUAAAAGAAACAAAAGCUUAAACGAAGCAAGCAACUAGAAAAAGAAAAACCCAAAGAGACUCCUCGGUUCCUGGUCACACGCAACUGACCCCUGCCAACGCCGCUCAUACGUCUGUGCGCACCUCGGGACACGCCCACGGCCGCGCAAAUCCAGGGACGCGCCGUGCGCGUCUCCGCCCUGCAGCAGCCGCCAGCUGCAAACACUCACUGGCAAUCUGCACACCUGGGACUGUUAAGGGCGAGCUGGAUAAGAGACCACGGGACCCAAGGAUCAGGGCGGGAACUUAGUUUUCUCAUGGUGUACCAAUUCCCUCCGUCGCCUUGGAAGUGAGCUAUGCGCCUCACUUCUCUAGACCCCUCUGGAUUCUGACUGCCUCCCUCGAUCCUCGACCCCCCACUUUGGACUCGGACCUCUUGACGCCCCUCUCAGCCCCACGGACCCCCGCUUGUAUCCCGGAUCACCUGUCUGCCCCAUGGACUUCCUCGUAUCUCGUUCAACACUUUGGUAACACACACUCCAGUUAAAUACUACACAUAGUCUUACACCAUACACAACCUUGGAUCUAGU